GCGUGAUUGGCUGCGCAAAAGCUAGCUUAGUUGAACCCUUGCCGCCACAUCCCGUCUUCCUCACUCGCUCAGCACCACAGGCGCUGGCGCGCCGCACCCCCUAUUCCUCCCUUCUCCUCGUCCGGAUAGCCGCUGGCCGCCCCACUGCUUCUCCCCCUUCCUCCUACCUCCCUUAUCACCACUACCUCCGGCCCUGCCCCCAAUCCACAUCCGCCUCCUCCCUCCCUUCCUUCCAGAUUGGGGAGUAAGAUCACAGGCGGCAAAGCAUGCGGUCGAUGGCAGCGGCUGGACGAGGAGCAUGGAGGCGACCGGGGCUGCUGGACAGUAGGGGUUCGCCGUGGUGGUCCAUGCCUGGGAAGAGGGCGACAUCUUCCGGCGACAAGAAGCGGCCCCGGUGCCAUCGUCCUCGGUACAGGUGCAACGCGGGAUCCUGAGAUGGUUACUCCGACUCCGUUGCCGCCGUCCUUUCUCCAAAUCAGGCGCGGAUUAGCCGAGCCCGGUGGUGAGGUGAAGGAGCAGGGUGGGCGGCCCAUCGCGAUGGGAUGGGGCUAGGGAAGAGGGAGGAGGCGGAAGGGUGAAGGAGCAGGCCGGCCCUCACGGUCACAGAGGCGCAACAGCUGUCCAGGGUCAUUCGCCGUUACCGGCCUCACUCGCCUCGUCUCCUAUCUCCUCACCACUGCAUCCAUGUGAAUUUUUGGAGAAUGGUGCUCCGAUUUGGUCCCCAUGCUGCAGGCCUGCAACAUUUAUAGAGGAGGAUUGCGGGUGUCGAUACAAUGGAGCAAUUUCUGGCUUUGUAGUUGGAGCAUAGCCUCGAUUAUGCAUGAUUUUGGGAUAUACCAGCCUGCUUACAUCUCCCAAGAUAUCCUCUUGGUCAAGGCAAUUGCACAUGAUGAAGCCACUCAUUUUAGGGGGUGAGAGGCGGAUAACAAUAUGAGAAGGAGCAUGCCAUCGAGGAGUGCAAGCAGCGGCACUCCUCCGCAAUGGGGUAUGGCUGCAGGGGAGGGGACGCGGCCGACAACAGGAAGAAGGAGCAGGUCAUCGAGGACUACAAGCAGGAGGUUUCCUUUGACUGGAAGUCUGAAACUGAAGAUAGGGCAUAUUGUUUUGGUUCUGAGUGGCCGGAGAUAUUGUGGCUUGAUGUCCCUAGAGCAGUCGGACCCUUCCAAGAUAGAAGAUCUUUGGGAUUGACGUUCUGAUGAGAAAGUAGCAUACGCAUGGAUGGACAUGAACUAUUCAGUGGUCGAACUGCGUUAUAUUUCUUCCAUUGAGGCGAGGGUGAUUCCAGUAGAUUUUGCUUGGCGUAUUCGCAUUUUUUUAUUGAAGUUGGGUGUCCGUCUUCUCUGCCGCAAGGUGAGCUUAUCCCAUUUACUUUGUUCAAUCCAGAGUCAAGAUUCAUAUCCCCUUCACUGUCAUUUCAUUUGUGAGAAUUUAUUCCAUUGAUCCAUGUUGUCGGCAUCCUGACAAUUUAUAUUUUUCUGCUGAUCACAAUUGCUUCUGAACACACCAGCCCAUCUCAUUGAGGAAAUUCCCCUGCUCUGCUUAAUUAAAAUUAAUGUGAAAUAUGUUUCUGCCAAAGCUAAUUACAAUUUAUUAUUUUUAGUUUCUACUGAUUUUCACUAUGAAAUAUUGGGGCCCGAGUAGUUCAGUUCAAUUCCCGGUGGAUAUGGCACACACAUGUAUCAUCGCUGCUAUCGUAAUUGAUACCAACACCUUGACAGAAUCGCAUAGAGUAGACUGCCCUGAUAAUUCUUGCAUAGCUAAGCUAUCUGUAACAUAGAAUAGACUGUGAGCAUGCCCUGGGGACCUGUCUAAAUAAUUCCUGUACACAUGGACGCUGGGUAUCACUACAAAAAAACACUUCCGUGAUGAUACGUGUUUGUCACAGUAGGUCGGAUUUUCUGUCAUGCAUGUACAUCCAUGACGAUUUUAUGAAAGAAUCAAGAUAGUCAUACCUGUGCUGUCGUAGAAGUGUUCCAUGACAUUACCAAAAUUAUCAUCACGGAAGUGUCCACUUCCAUGACGAUAAAUCGCGCGUCAUAAAAGUGCUUUCGUCAAGGGUGACCGACACGUGGUAUCCACCGUAACGGAACGCCGUUAAGAUAUCGGGUCGGAUUUUGGAUCCGAUAACCCCUUAACAGCCACGACCAAUGCCGAUUUUCCACGUGUAAAAUUCUCAUUGGCUGACGGAUCCACGCGUUAGCUCCGCGUUGGCACUGGUGUCACUUAUCCAACAGUCGAGAUGGGCCUAUGAUAUGUUGACACGUGGACCGGCCCAAAAGUGGUCCACAAAGUUUAAAUGGGCCGGCCCAACCGAAGGCCCAUAAGAUUUAGCGGACCAUAAUGGGCCAGCCCAGCUAAAGGCCCACAAAAUUUAGCGGACCAUAAUGGGUCGGCCCAGCUAAAGGGCCACACGAUUUUCCAGACCAUAAUGGGCCGGCCCAUCUAAAGGCCCACAAGAUUUUGCGGACCACAAUAGGCCGGCCCAACAAAAGGCCCACAAGAUUCUGCAGACCAUAAUGGGCCGGUCCAGCUAAAGGCCCAACAUUCUCUGUCAAAUCGGCCCGUCAACGGCCUGUCCUAAACUUGCCAUCAACGCGGCCAAUGGUCACUUCUGGCCCGUUAACAGUCCGCUAAGUAACUGGGCCGAAUUACAGCCCGGUGUAUUUCCGGCCUGUUAAAGGUCCGGCUUCAUUUGGGCCCAUUUACAGGCCAUCAAAACUUUCGCCCCAUAAGCGACCGUGAAGGAUUUGGGUCAUAUUCGGCCAUGUCUGACAUUCUGCCUGUUAGAGGCCCACUAUAAAUUUGGGCCACUUUCGGCCUGUUGUCAUUUUUGGCCUGUUAACGCCAAACGUAAACCAUGGGCCAUAUGUGGCCCAACGUCAUAUCGGGCCCAUUAACAGCCCAUAUAAAAAUAACGAUAAUCUAGCCCGACCGAAGUUCCGGCCUGUUAAAGGCCCGUGUAUUAGGUCGGUGCAUUUACGGCCCGUCCAAAUUUCGGCAUGUCAAAGAUCCGCAUCGUAAAUGGGCCACCAUUUUGGCCUGUUAAGUCCAGUGGGUUAGUUGGCACAAUCAGGGCCCAAUCUCACUUUCGGUCUAUUAAAGGCCCAUGUUUUUUAUGGGCUCGAGAUAUUUACACCUGUAAACGGCCUAUUUUUACUGAGGGCCCAAAUUAUGUUUAGGCCUGUUAAAGGCCCACUAUGGGCACAGGCCUACCAAAAAAAUAUGAAAGCUUAUGCUGAUUUAGGCCCAGAUAUUUUUAGUAGGCUACAUGCAAAUUUCGGCCCGUAAUCGUUUUUAGCCCAAUUGGAAUGGGCCCGACGAAUGUUGGCAUGUUGGGCUCCUACGAAGCUUUCGGCCGAAUACAUUACUAAGAUAAACCUACACUAUACAAAAAAUAGCGUGGUAAUUACUACAGCCUGUGGCAGCAUCAUAAAUGUUGUAUCACAACAAAAUAAAUUCCAACCAUACUACAAAAGGCCUGUUGGCAUAAAUUUUACAGUCCUUCCAGAUAAAAGCACCAUCAGAUGUAUAGAAGCACAGACCAUUUGACCUGAGUGCUAAUGUUUCAGGCUGUAGAAUCUGAUGGAGCAGCACGAUCUCCACCUUUUUCCGCCAUUGCUCUUGAACAACAAAGCGAAUGUCUGAUAGUCUGGUUUCAAAACCAUUCAUAUCUUGACGACAUUUCUGAACCACUAUUCUUGUUUCCGAAACAACGUCCAUUAGGGAUUGGACUUGUGUCUGGAGCACAGAUAUAUCACUCUGUCUAGCAGGAAGAUUUUGUUCAGUAGGCGAUUUGGACGAGGUUACCUUGACAACCAACCCAGAAUUACGCAGGAAGGUGCUUUUUGCACUGUUAGUGGAGAGAUACUGACGCACUGUAGCAAGAGGUGACAUUGUGCCUGUAGUAGCCUCGUCAUCUUCAGGUGGUUGUGGCUGUUCAAUCAUUUGUUCAAUAGCUUCCUGAAAGUUUGAACUUGUAGAUUAGUGUACUAGAUAAGUUACUAAUGAGACAAAAACAAACAAAGUAGGCUAAACGUUUAUACAUAACUUAUUUUGGUGAACUACUGUAAUACAUUAGCAUGUAUUGUAGUGCCAACUACAUAAUAAAAUCACUUUCGGAACAUAUGUCCAUGUAGCAUGCCUACUGUAUUGUCUAUUUCCUCACAUUCGUUGACAUCUAAGGAUAAAGAGACAUGGUUUAAAGUAGGAUGAACAUAGUAUGACAUCAUUCAUAUCAUGGGCAAACAGAUAUAAAACAAACAUGCUAUUUUAUCAUUGUGUGCGCACGUGAACAUAACAACUAGAUUACAGAUCAAGACCAAAAGAAUAUCCUUCAUCUUUUUUAAACCAUGUAAGGUGAAAUGAUACGUUAAGACAACUGUGUAUAAAAGUGAAUAGAGUAACUGACAUUGGCUGUAAACCAAGUAGUUAAAUGAACACAUCAUAGUACCAAUCAGUUCAAGGCAGGAGGAGUAAGGACUUACAACAGCGGCUUGAACUGGUGUGCUCAUGCCCUUCAUCUUGCUGGUGUGGCAAUCCUUGAAGAUUUGCACUGCAUUCAGUUCAGGUUCUUUUUGGUCCGCAUGGGCUUUCCUUUGUAUUUGGAAGAAGUCAAUACAGAUGCAAUAAUAUGGCACACAAAAAAGAAGGAAGUAGCAGCUAUUUACAAGAGCCUCGCAGUGUGCAAUAUAGCUACGAGAUCCUAUUGUCUGUUGGAAUUUCACUUUAGAACGGUUGGUUUUAUUCUUCAAACAGUUAGCCUAGAAGAAGAUACACUUGUAAGGCACAUACAUAAAUACAAGUUCAAUAUGUGGUCUGAUCAAAUACAUAUAGCCUACCUGAUACUUUCGAUCAGACCAGUGUUCAACAAGGGCUAUCCAGUCUUCAUUUGUAAUAUAUUCCACUAGAGAUGUUUGAGCGAUUUCAUUGUUAGCCUUGCCUUCAAAGUGAGAUUUUCUAAGGUGGUACCGAUACUAUCACAUAGCAGAUUGAAAAACAUGAGUGCAUGCUUGUUUAGU
rnacentral:rRNA from 1 species